UACGGAGGGUGCAAGCGUUAUCCGGAUUCACUGGGUUUAAAGGGUGCGUCGGUGGGCAGGUACGUCAGUGGUGAAAUCUCCGGGCUUAACCCGGAAACUGCCGUUGAUACUAUUUGUCUUGAAUAUUGUGGAGGUAAGCGGAAUAUGUCAUGUAGCGGUGAAAUGCUUAGAUAUGACAUAGAACACCAAUUGCGAAGGCAGCUUACUACACAACGAUUGACGCUGAGGCACGAAAGCGUGGGGAUCAAACAGG
rnacentral:rRNA from 1 species